rnacentral:lncRNA from 1 species
CUCCCACUGGUACAGCUGGCCCAUGAACUCCUGGGAGUCGAAGGCUGCACACUGCAGGGCCCGGGGGUCUGGCUGCUCAGGGGGGCAGGGCUGGGGGGGGGGAAGCAGAGCAGUCAGUGCUGGGGAGGAAGUUGGAUUUGGAGGCGGGAGGAGAGGGUCAGCUCUGGGGUCCAGGGCUGACAAACGAGGACCCAGACAGCCUUGGGGAGCCCAGCAGAGAACUCACCACCUGGCUGCAGGCUCGGAGCUGCUCUCUCUCCCCAGCACAUCUUGGGACAGGGUCUCUGGGGGCAAAGAGGCUCCAGAGGGAGCCGGGCUGGGGCCCACCCCACAGCAGGGACAGCCAGCCGUCUAGAUGGUGACUGGCAGGCUCUGAGAAGGACACGCGAGGACUCCCCCCAGGCCACCAGUGCCCCCGGCUCUGCUGACCGAGGCCCCAAGGGUCAGAAGGCAAAGGAUCGGGCGCCUGCCUGCUACCUGGGGCCUGGCUAGACGCUGGGAGUUAGGCUUUCUCGGCUGAGGGGACGCAAGGAAGGAGCCACUUUCUCUGGAGGAGGAGGUUCGAGAGGGGGGCCCCGCGCCAGAGGCCUGGGCUCCCAGGUGGGGCUGUGUGGGGACAGGACUGGUUCUGGGGGGCACCCCUGUCUGAGCAGUUUGGGGCCUGGUAGGCUCUGCGGGGGGCCAUGAGGUGUGGGCAGCGGGCUCUGCAGGGAGGAGCUGAGUUUGGGGGCUGAGCAGCUCUGCUCCCGGGGUCAGGGAGGGAAGGGGCCUGUCUGGGGCUCUGACCGUGGGGAUGGGGGGCUUCUGGGUGUCGUGGGGGCCUGAGAGGCAGGGCCAGGCCCGGGGGGAGUCGACAAGUCCGGCUUCUGCGCUGCACCCCCACCCCGCAGGGCUGGGAGCAAGGGCCCCACUGGUCCCAAGGUCCCCAGACACCAUCAGGGACCCAGCCCUCCUCUGGGGUUGUCUGAAGAGCGUGUCCAGACAAGACCUACAGGGAGAGAAAGGGCAGACAGAAAUAGAGCCAUGGGAGGGGAAGGUGCUCAGCAGCCUCCUGGCCCAGGGCUCUGGCCCAGAGCCACACUCCCGAGCCCAGCCCAGCCAAGCGGAACUAGAAAUCGGCUGUCUGCGAUUUCUCAGGGGUUAGGGGCUGCCGGGAGGGCAGGAGGGCCGGAGGGCCGAGCGUGUGGAUGGGGACAAGGAGACAGGGCCGGAGAGGAGGGUGUGGGGUCGGGAAGCUGAAGGGACCCAGGUGGGCGCAGGCUGUUCACCUGCCCCAGGCUCACCUCCUGGUCCAGGCAGAGCUGAGGCAGAGACAGAAGCAGCGC